rnacentral:rRNA from 1 species
AUGAACGCUGGCGGCGUGCCUAAUACAUGCAAGUAGAACGCUGAAGGAAGGAGCUUGCUCUUUCCGGAUGAGUUGCGAACGGGUGAGUAACGCGUAGGUAACCUGCCUGGUAGCGGGGGAUAACUAUUGGAAACGAUAGCUAAUACCGCAUAACAGUAGAUGUUGCAUGAUAUCUACUUAAAAGGUGCAAUUGCACCACUACCAGAUGGACCUGCGUUGUAUUAGCUAGUUGGUGAGGUAACGGCUCACCAAGGCGACGAUACAUAGCCGACCUGAGAGGGUGAUCGGCCACACUGGGACUGAGACACGGCCCAGACUCCUACGGGAGGCAGCAGUAGGGAAUCUUCGGCAAUGGACGGAAGUCUGACCGAGCAACGCCGCGUGAGUGAAGAAGGGUUUCGAAUCGUAAAGCUCUGUUGUAAGAGAAGAACGAGUGUGAGAGUGGAAAGUUCACACUGUGACGGUAUCUUACCAGAAAGGGACGGCUAACUACGUG